rnacentral:hammerhead_ribozyme from 1 species
GCACUGCUGAGGAGUCCCAGACGAAACGGCCGUCCAGUGC